GAUGAACGCUGGCGGCGUGCCUAAUACAUGCAAGUCGAGCGAACAGACGAGGAGCUUGCUCCUCUGACGUUAGCGGCGGACGGGUGAGUAACACGUGGAUAACCUACCUAUAAGACUGGGAUAACUUCGGGAAACCGGAGCUAAUACCGGAUAAUAUAUUGAACCGCAUGGUUCAAUAGUGAAAGACGGUUUUGCUGUCACUUAUAGAUGGAUCCGCGCCGCAUUAGCUAGUUGGUAAGGUAACGGCUUACCAAGGCAACGAUGCGUAGCCGACCUGAGAGGGUGAUCGGCCACACUGGAACUGAGACACGGUCCAGACUCCUACGGGAGGCAGCAGUAGGGAAUCUUCCGCAAUGGGCGAAAGCUUGACGGAGCAACGCCGCGUGAGUGAUGAAGGUCUUCGGAUCGUAAAACUCUGUUAUUAGGGAAGAACAAAUGUGUAAGUAACAAUGCACGUCUUGACGGUACCUAAUCAGAAAGCCACGGCUAACUACGUG
rnacentral:rRNA from 1 species